UUUACUUAUUUAAAUAUGUCCUGGACACAAUUUCCUAUGAAAAUAUGUCCUCAGGUAUGAAAAAGUGUCCAUGCACAUGGACAUUAUUCACUACCAUAAUAUUGUCCAGGUGGACAUUUUUUCACAGGACAUUGUGUCCGCCAAGGGAUCAUAAGUUUUUGAUAUGAUUAAAGUAUCAAAUGAUAUCCAUUGCCCUUCUUAUUACUAGACGCAUUUUAACUUCAAUUGCGGACUUUA
rnacentral:lncRNA from 1 species